GACUACAAACUGGUUUCAUUUGUUUCUGUGUUGUUGCUUUUUGUUUACUUAAUUAGUUUUGUUUUCUGUGAAAAAAAAAAAAAAAAAAAUCGGAAAAUUUAAAAAUCCAAAAAAAUUUGUCUUGUUUUCCUUAUUGUUUUGAAUUAGAUUUUUGUUAGUUUCCCGACCCAAUGAUAUAAUUGGAUCAAAUUUGAAUCAUGAUUAUCAAGAAU
rnacentral:lncRNA from 1 species